rnacentral:rRNA from 1 species
UACGUAGGGGGCAAGCGUUUGUCCGGAUUUAUUGGGCGUAAAGAGCGUGUAGGCGGUUUGGUAGGUCCGCUGUGAAAACUCGAGGCUCAACCUCGAGACGCCGGUGGAAACCAUCAGGCUAGAGUCCGGAAAGAGGAGGAGUGGAAUUCCUGGUGUAGCGGUGAAAUGCGCAGAUAUCAGGAGGAACACCGGUGGUGUAGACGGCUCACUGGACCGUAAACUGACGCUGAGACACGAAAGCGUGGGUAGCAAACAGG